rnacentral:rRNA from 1 species
UACGGAGGGGGCAAGCGUUAUCCGGAAUUACUGGGUUUAAAGGGUGCGUAGGCGGCUUAGUAAGUCAGGGGUGAAAGGUCACGGCUCAACCGUGGAAUUGCCUUUGAUACUGCUGAGCUUGAAUCAGGAUGAGGUUGGCAGAAUGUGGCAUGUAGCGGUGAAAUGCAUAGAUAUGCCAUAGAACACCGAUUGCGAAGGCAGCUGGCUAGACCUUGAUUGACGCUGAGGCACGAAAGCGUGGGGAGCGAACAGG